UCCGUAGGCGGUGUGGCAAGUCGGAAGUGAAAUCUCUGGGCUUAACCCAGAGGCUGCUUCCGAAACUGCCGUGCUAGAGCGUGAGAGAGGCGAGUGGAAUUGCGGGUGUAGCGGUGAAAUGCGUAGAUAUCCGCAGGAACAUCCGAGGCGAAAGCGGCUCGCUGGAUCACAACUGACGCUGAGGGACGAAAGCUAGGGGAGCAAACAGGAUUAGAUACCCUGGUAGUCCUAGCCCUAAACCAUCAGGACUUGGGGUUUGCCCUGUACGGGGCAAGUCCCGUAGCUAACGCGUUAAGUCCUGCGCCUGGGGAGUACGGUCGCAAGGCUGAA
rnacentral:rRNA from 1 species